rnacentral:rRNA from 1 species
GGACUACAAGGGUAUCUAAUCCCGUUUGCUCCCCUGGCUUUCGCGCCUCAGCGUCAGUAGGUGUCCAGCACGCCGCUUUCGCCACCGGCGUUCCUUCCGAUAUCUACGCAUUUCACCGCUCCACCGGAAGUUCCGCAUGCCCCUACACCCCUCGAGACCACCAGUAUCCGCGGCACUUCCCCGGUUGAGCCGGGGGAUUUCACCACAGACUUGGCAGCCCGCCUACGCGCCCUUUAAGCCCAGUGAAUCCGAACAACGUUCGCACGGUUCGUCUUACCGCGGCGGCUGGCAC